rnacentral:lncRNA from 1 species
CACGGUGCAUCGCGGUUCAGCUUAAUCGAACUCCCUCAAUGAAGUGUAUCACCCAAUCGGUGCUCAUAUAUUUUCAGCCUCCUUCAAGAGUUUGUCCAAUCAGACCUGUCAAAUUUAGUAUCCAGUCUCGGUAGCCUGGUCAUCCAAUGAAAAUCCAAUAUCCUUCACGUUGCUUGCUUCCCCGGACGGAUACCGCGAGAGUAGGCUAGGCCGCAGUUCGUCUGUAUUGCGGUGAGUGCAACUGUUCGAGCGGCGCCUUCUCGCCAAUUCAUUCAACUCCAGCAACCCAUAAAACAGAGGACAGGAGGCGGUCUGCGCUUUUACAUUGAACGGAGGACGACCACCUCUUUCUACGGCUCUGCAAGCUUCCCUUUUAAAUUGCGACACAUACUGGCAUCUGACCUGUUGGUGAUGCCCACGCUGAGGAUAAUGGGGAACGACAGUGUCUGGAAGGAGAUCAUGAGCCUUGCUCUUCUCGAUCGGAGACCUGCUGCAGCAAUGGCACAGGCCACCGACAGUCUCCGACUGCUGUACAUGGCCCACACCCUGCAGCUCUGA